GUGUCGGAGCCUGCUCAUCAGCAAAGAAGUUGCUGCAAGGCUCAUCAAAAUCCUGCUCCUCUGCCUUCAUCAAUUGAUGGUGGAGGAAGGAAAACUCAAUUGCUGUCGCCUUCGAAUCAAUUAGUUUUGAUGCCACUGGAUGAGUGUCAUCGUUGAGGACAGCGCUCGAGUCGCUGUCAGCUGGCCCAUCCUGGUAGAAGAUCAAGACUGGAGGCUCCUCUUCGGUAAAGUCUAGAUCUU
rnacentral:misc_RNA from 1 species